GAUAAGUGCUGAAAGCAUCUAAGCACGAAACUUGCCCCGAGAUGAGUUCUCCCUGACCCUUUAAGGGUCCUGAAGGAACGUUGAAGACGACGACGUUGAUAGGCCGGGUGUGUAAGCGCAGCGAUGCGUUGAGCUAACCGGUACUAAUGAACCGUGAGGCUUAACCUUACAACGCCGAAGCUGUU
rnacentral:rRNA from 1 species